rnacentral:rRNA from 1 species
AUUUUCUUGUUUUAAUUUUUAUUGUUUUUAUUUAAUUUUUAUUGAAGAAUCAUUGUGGUGUUUUUGUAAUUUUUUGAUUCAAUUUUUUUGGCUAUAGUUGAUUUGUACUGUGAGGGGUUUUAUGUUUUAAUAUUUUUUUAAAAGUUGAUUUUGUUUGUUGUACCUUGUGUAUCAGGGUUCAUUGAAUUUUAUUAUUUAUUUUUAUUUCCCGAUUUUAAAGGAGUUAAUGGUUUAUUUUGGUUACUGUUUCAUUAGUAUUAAUAAUAAUCUGUUGGUAGUGAAAUGCUAUUCGUCUUUAGUGGUUUCUGGUUUUUCAAGAAAUGAAUUUAAUUCAUGCAUCUUGUUUUGUUUAAUUUAUUUUGUUUAUUAAUUUGUUUUUAUUUGAUGCUAAGAUUAAGGGGGAUUAGCUCUUUAUUUUAUUUUUAUAAUUUUUAUGUUUUAGUUAGUUUUGUGGAUUUUAUGUUGAUUUUCAAUUUGAUUAUGUUAAAAUUUUAUUUUAUUGUUUUUUUAUUUUUUUGUUGAUUUUCUUGUUUUAAUUUUUAUUGUUUUUAUUUAAUUUUUAUUGAAGAAUCAAUGUUUUUUUUACUUUUUGUUUUAAUGGUAAUUAUUAUGUAAUUAGUAAAUCUUUAUUUUUUAUUUUGUUGUAUUGAUGUUAAUUUUUUUUAAGGAAUUCGGCAAAUUUUAUCAUGUCCGCCUGUUUAACAAAAACAUCUUUUCUUGUUAGUUUUUGAAGUAUGGCCUGCCCACUGACGUUUAUGAAGUUGAAGGGCCGCGGUAUUUUGACCGUGCAAAGGUAGCAUAAUCAUUAGUUCUUUAAUUGUGAUCUGGUAUGAAUGGCUUGACGAGACAUGAGCUGUCUUAAAGGUAUGAAUUAGGUUUAUGGUUGAACUUGGUUUUUGAGUUAAAAUUCUUAGAUGUUUUUAUGGGACGAGAAGACCCUAUAGAGUUUAACAUUUAAUUUAUUUUUAGUAUGUUGUUUGUUUUAUGAUUGAUUAUUUUAAGUGUUUUGUUGGGGUGAUGGGAGGAAUUUAUUUAACUCCUCUUUAUUUGUUAUAUUUAUAUAUAUUAUUUUGAUCCAAUUUAUUUUGAUUAUAAGAUUAAAUUACCUUAGGGAUAACAGCGUUAUCUUCCUUGAGAGUUCUUAUUGGCGGGGAGGUUUGCGACCUCGAUGUUGGAUUAAGGUUAAUUUCCGGUGCAGGAGCUGGAAUAGAUUAGGUCUGUUCGACCUUUAAAAUCUUACAUGAUCUGAGUUCAGACCGGCGUGAGCCAGGUUGGUUUCUAUCUAUAAUUUUUGUUAUACCUUAGUACGAGAGGACCGGGUAUUUGGAAUAAUUUUAUUGUUAAUGAUUAUUAUUAAUGUGG